GAACGCACCUUGCACCCUCUGGUAUUCCGGAGGGUAUGCCCGGUUGAGCGUUUUGAAUAUCUCAAUUUCAAUGCUUUGUUAACAAGGCUUUUUCAGAGGACCUUCCUUGUCUAGCGAGACAUUGGGUUGGACUCGAUCAAGUCUGAGGUGUUGAAACUUGGACUUGAGCUCCGUUGGCCCUUUAGGUUGACCGGCUUGAAAUGCAUUAGCGAUGUCUGACCAAGGUGUCCUGAUUGGCGUGAUAAGCAUUGAUCGUCAUGAAAAGGUGCCGUUGUCUGUCUCUCCUAGCCGUCUUUGGACAAUACCUGACAUUUACACCUCAACUCGGGUAGGACUACCCGCUGAACUUAAG
rnacentral:misc_RNA from 1 species